rnacentral:rRNA from 1 species
GCUGCGAGCGAACAGGGAAGAGCCCAGCACCGAAUCCCGCGGCCGACAUCGGACGCCGGGAAAUGUGGUGUUAGGGAGAAUCCACUAUCCCGAGAUCAUGCGGCGCGUCCAAGUCCUUCUUGAACGGGGCCACAGCCCAUAGAGGGUGCCAGGCCCGUAGCGACCGCCGCUGAUCGCGGGAGGAUCUCUCCUCAGAGUCGGGUUGCUUGAGAGUGCAGCCCUAAGCGGGUGGUAAACUCCAUCUAAGGCUAAAUAUGACCACGAGACCGAUAGCGAACAAGUACCGUGAGGGAAAGUUGAAAAGCACUUUGAAGAGAGAGUUCAAGAGUACGUGAAACCGUUUAGGGGUAAACCUGAGAAACCCGAAAGGUCGAAGGGAGAAAUUCAUUCGCGUCUCGCCGUCGGCGUGAAAUGGUCGCGCGACGAAAGACGUUCGCGUCUUUUGCGCCUUCCGUUUUUCGAUCCGAUAGCGAACGCGUGCACUUUUCUCCCGGUAGGACGUCGCGAUCCGUUGGGUGUCGGUCUACGGCUCGCGGUGGAGCCCGGAUGUGUUCGUCACGUCCGGACCCGCGUGUCCCGGCCGACUCGCUCGACGGUAUACGAAAGGUUAAAGGCCGCUCUCGGAGCGUUCGGCUCGUCGCAAGCGCGUCAGAUGUUUGUCGGUAAUCGGACCUGGUGCCGGUUCUGACCUCUGGCGACUGUUGGCGACGAAGUUCUCGAACAGACCUCGGACCGAUCUGCGAC